rnacentral:rRNA from 1 species
AUUGAACGCUGGCGGCAUGCCUUACACAUGCAAGUCGAACGGUAACAGGUCUUCGGAUGCUGACGAGUGGCGAACGGGUGAGUAAUACAUCGGAACGUGCCUAGUAGUGGGGGAUAACUACUCGAAAGAGUGGCUAAUACCGCAUGAGAUCUACGGAUGAAAGCAGGGGAUCGCAAGACCUUGUGCUAUUAGAGCGGCCGAUGGCAGAUUAGGUAGUUGGUGGGAUAAAAGCUUACCAAGCCGACGAUCUGUAGCUGGUCUGAGAGGACGAUCAGCCAGACGGGGACUGGGAAACGGGCCAGAGUCCUACUGGAGGCAGCGGUGGUGAAUUUUGGACAAUGGGCGCAAGCCUGAUCCAGAAAUGCCGCGUGCAGGAUGAAGGCCUUCGGGUUGUAAACUGCUUUUGUACGAAACGAAAAGCCCUGGGUUAAUACCCUGGGGUCAUGACGGUACCGUAAGAAUAAGCACCGGCUAACUACGUGCCAGCCGCCGCGGUAAAAC